AUUGAACGCUGGCGGCAGGCCUAACACAUGCAAGUCGAGCGAGCGGCGGACGGGUGAGUAAUGUCUGGGAAACUGCCUGAUGGAGGGGGAUAACUACUGGAAACGGUAGCUAAUACCGCAUACCAUCAGAUGUGCCCAGAUGGGAUUAGCUAGUCGGUGGGGGAACGGCUCACCUAGGCGACGAACCCUAGCUGGUCUGAGAGGAUGACCAGCUCCACUGGAACUGAGACACGGUCCAGCAUCGUACGGGAGGAAGCAGUGGUGAAUAUUGCCCAAGGGGCGCAAGCCUGAUGCAGCCAUGCCGCGUGUGUGAAGAAGGCCUUCGGGUUUUAAAGCACUUUCAGCGGGGAGGCGUUACCCGCAUAAGAAGCACCGGCUAACUCCGUGCCAGCAGCCGCGGUAAUUC
rnacentral:rRNA from 1 species